GCAUAGUACUAGAGCCGAUUUACGCAAUCGAAUACCGCCGGAAGUAGAACAUUUAUGUCAACACCGGUUUCGUAUUUUCACGUGAAAACGGCCGAAAACUGAGAGGUUAUCAACAAAUUAUAAGUUUACGGGUACCAUGAGGAUUUUUCAUGCAUUUAAACGAAAGAAGUACAAGCGAACAGAUGACACAUUAAAGUGGCUGCAGAAGCUUGAAAAGUUAAAUAGAGCAGGGGCAGUCAAAACAGUGGGAUAAUACUUCUAUAGGGUCCAACAUGUCUAGUAAGGCUGACAGAAGUGAAAGAUGGUCUGAUGGUACAAUGAUGUACAAAUGAUACUCUUUAACAAGUUGAACAUGUCAAGGUGUAAAAUGUUCUGUGGAUUCAUAUGAUGAGAAUGCCAGUGUUGAUCUGUAUGACUUAAUUAAACACAGAUAUUGAUACCUUCAGAUAUAUACCUGUGAAAUCUUCAGUGUCACCGUUCAGCUAUUGUUCAAGAUCAGUGUCUGCAGCUUGCACAGUUUAGUAUAGAGGAGCCUUCUGAAUCAACUUUGUUACAUAUUUGCUGUUAUUGUAGGACACGCAUGUAGAGAGCAGCAAGUCCUGUUCAGCCGUGCAUGUAAAUGUGAUUCAGAAACUUUGAGAAUAUGUAAACAUUACACUGUUAUAAUUUUCAAAAUACUGUGUCUUGUAGUGUAUCAGUACUGUUUUGUCUCAGUUUAUAGCACAGUAUGUUCACAAA
rnacentral:lncRNA from 1 species